UUAGGUAAGUGGACAUUUUUUUUAUUAAUUGGCAAACCAGGAGAAACAACUGUAUGAAAAGUCCAUAUUAACCUUGUUGUAAUCAAAGGAAUCCAUUUCUAUUUUACUUGCUACCGGCUACUUCCAUUAACUGGCCAAUAGGGUUUUUCAUUGAUGUUUUUCUUCUUUUUCGACUAUUUCUCACAGAUUUACCGUCGACAGUUUUACCGUGGCCAGUAAGCAUACACGACAGUUUGCUCUUCCUUGCCAAGCUUUAGGUUGCUGCUUCUCCAAUCUCUUCCCCAUCCCCAAAUCCAUUCUAUAUUUUGAAUUACAAAAUUUAGGAUUACUUUUAAGAUCGCCGUCGCCAGAGGCCGUUGCGGCGCCCCCAUGAUCUGAUUUCUUUAAUAUGAAGUUUUGAGAUUUUAAGGUUCUUUUUAAAUUUAUUGGAAAUUGUUCAACCAAUUAAAUUUUACUGUCUCUUUUAUAAUUGGUUGACUGAUUUUAUAAUUAUAUCUUUAAAAUACCUUUUUAGAGAAAUGUAAUUUUCUUAAUAUUUGUGCAUUACUAGAAAACAUCAAGUAUUAUGAAACAGAGGGAAUAUAAUAGAAGAUCGACGUGUCAUCUUUGGCGGUUUGGGUCCUAGAUUAUCAUAUUAAACUUGGUGAGAUGCUCUUAGCUUGAAGAUUGCUUAGGGUAAAUUUUGUUGCAGGGUUUGUGAACGGGGAAAAGAUUUGUAUUUGGAGGGUGCAACGUGUAUCAACGUGCAAAGUGUUCCAAAAAAAACAAAAAAGAUAAGACUUGUAGUGUAAUAGAUAAUGUGUUGUAAUGUUAUGGUUCCUUUGGGUUCAACUGGUAUGAAAUGAAGAUAGAAUCGAACUUAAGAUUUUGGGGAUUAAAGGAAAUUUAGUAAAAUAUUAAUAAAAAAUCUUACAAGUAUAAGAGUCUAUUUCUAUAUAAAUUAUUUUAGGGGUAAUAAAUAAUUUAGUUAUAAUUUCAAUUUAUUUUUAUAUAACCCUAUAUUUGAUAAAUUAUUUCUUAAAUUUUAAAAGUCAUAGGCUAAUAUUUAUGCCAAUCACGUCUUGAGAGUAGAUAGUGGAAAUUACUACUAUUAGUCAAAGGGUUUGGAGGAACGAACUACAAGGCAAUGUUCCAUGGUAACGUACAAUGGGAAGAGAACUUGUAAUAUUUUGGGACGGGUUUAGCAUCCUAAAAUUAAAUAUGUAAAAAUUGGAUACUCACCCACUUUUAUAAAUAAUUGAUGUUUUACCUUUUAAUUUGUAUAUAAAAUUCAUGUUUUAAUUUUAAUCAAUGCAUUUUACUUUAAAACUAGACCAUAGAUUAAAAUUUAAAAAUAUGAGUGGAAAUGUUUUAUUGCGAAGAAAAUAAAAUAAUCAAAACUAAUUAAUAAAAAAUAAGUAUUGACUAAAUAAAAACUUAAUAAUAAAAGUAUCAUUGUUUAAUAUAUAUAAAUAUAUACACUUAUUGUAAAUAUCUAGUCAACUAAAAAAAUGAAAUAUAUGAAAAAUUACUAUAAAUUAUACUAAAAUUUUGCCAUAAUUAGAAAAAUUAGUAAUUAAUCUCACUUUUUCAAUUUAAUAUUAUUUUGUAAGGAUAUCUAGUGUUACUGAAAAUAUAUAUUUUUCAUAAAUAUAGGGAUAUUUCUGUUUUUAUUUCAGAAUGUAACUAGUUUUUAUAUAAACUAACUAGUUGAUUUAACCAUCCACAAUCUUCUUCUCGCGCCUCUAUUUUCUUCUUCCACCUUCACAAACCUUUGAAAAACGUUUCAUUGCAGUUUUAAAUUGGGAAAAUGUGGAGAAAUACACCUAUAUAAGAUUUUAAUUUGAAAACUAUAUCAUUGUUUAAUUUUUUUGAAAAAUGCACUUUUGCUUAUAUGAAUUUACUAAAUUAUCCGAUAUGAAUAUUUAUCAUCAGAAUUUAUUUAAUAUUAAAUAAAGGCUCAUUUGGGUGAAUAACCAAAACAAGAAUGGAAAUUAGGUAAGUGGACAUUUUUUUUAUUAAUUGGCAAACCAGGAGAAACAACUGUAUGAAAAGUCCAUAUUAACCUUGUUGUAAUCAAAGGAAUCCAUUUCUAUUUUACUUGCUACCGGCUACUUCCAUUAACUGGCCAAUAGGGUUUUUCAUUGAUGUUUUUCUUCUUUUUCGACUAUUUCUCACAGAUUUACCGUCGACAGUUUUACCGUGGCCAGUAAGCAUACACGACAGUUUGCUCUUCCUUGCCAAGCUUUAGGUUGCUGCUUCUCCAAUCUCUUCCCCAUCCCCAAAUCCAUUCUAUAUUUUGAAUUACAAAAUUUAGGAUUACUUUUAAGAUCGCCGUCGCCAGAGGCCGUUGCGGCGCCCCCAUGAUCUGAUUUCUUUAUGGCUUCUGAUCUUCUCAUCC
rnacentral:lncRNA from 1 species